AUAAACGCUAGCGGCAGGCCUAACACAUGCAAGUCGAGGGGCAGCGGAUAGAGUGCUUCGGUACUCUUGCCGGCGACCGGCGGACGGGUGCGUAACGCGUAUGCAACCUGCCUUCAACAGGGGGAUAAUCCGAAGAAAUUUGGUCUAAUACCCCAUAAUAUUCCGACAGGCAUCUGUCGGAGUUGAAAGCUUCGGUGGUUGGAGAUGGGCAUGCGUUGUAUUAGCUGGAUGGUGAGGUAACGGCUCACCAUGGCGAUGAUACAUAGGGGGACUGAGAGGUUUUCCCCCCACACUGGUACUGAGACACGGACCAGACUCCUACGGGAGGCAGCAGUGAGGAAUAUUGGUCAAUGGACGGAAGUCUGAACCAGCCAUGCCGCGUGCAGGAUGAAUGUGCUAUGCAUUGUAAACUGCUUUUGUACGAGGGUAAACCCAGAUACGCGUAUCUGCUUGAAAGUAUCGUACGAAUAAGGAUCGGCUAACUCCGUGCCAGCAGCCGCGGUAAUACGGAGGAUCCGAGCGUUAUCCGGAUUUAUUGGGUUUAAAGGGUGCGUAGGCUGUUUUUUAAGUUAGAGGUGAAAGCUCGACGCUCAACGUCGAAAUUGCCUCUGAUACUGAGAGACUAGAGUGUAGUUGCGGAAGGCGGAAUGUGUGGUGUAGCGGUGAAAUGCUUAGAUAUCACACAGAACACCGAUUGCGAAGGCAGCUUUCCAAGCUAUUACUGACGCUGAGGCACGAAAGCGUGGGGAGCGAACAGGAUUAGAUACCCUGGUAGUCCACGCAGUAAACGAUGAUAACUCGUUGCCGGCGAUACACAGUCGGUGACUUAGCGAAAGCGUUAAGUUAUCCACCUGGGGAGUACGUUCGCAAGAAUGAAACUCAAAGGAAUUGACGGGGGCCCGCACAAGCAGUGGAGUAUGUGGUUUAAUUCGAAGCAACGCGAAGAACCUUACCAGGUCUUGACAUCCGAUGCAUAGCACAGAGAUGUGUGAAAUCCUUCGGGACAUCGAGACAGGUGGUGCAUGGUUGUCGUCAGCUCGUGCCGUGAGGUGUCGGGUUAAGUCCCAUAACGAGCGCAACCCCUACCGUUAGUUGCCAUCAGGUCAAGCUGGGCACUCUAGCGGGACUGCCGGUGUAAGCCGAGAGGAAGGUGGGGAUGACGUCAAAUCAGCACGGCCCUUACGUCCGGGGCGACACACGUGUUACAAUGGCCGGUACAGAGGGUAGCUACCUGGUGACAGGAUGCCAAUCUCGAAAGCCGGUCUCAGUUCGGAUUGGAGGCUGAAACUCGCCUCCAUGAAGUUGGAUUCGCUAGUAAUCGCGCAUCAGCCAUGGCGCGGUGAAUACGUUCCCGGGCCUUGUACACACCGCCCGUCAAGCCAUGGGAGUUGGGGGUGCCUGAAGUACGUGACCGCAAGGAGCGUCCUAGGGCAAAACCGAUGACUGGGGCU
rnacentral:rRNA from 1 species